rnacentral:rRNA from 1 species
AUUGAUUUUAUGCUUGCAUAAAUGAUUUUUGGAUUCGGAGCGAGUGGCGAACUGGUGAGUAACACGUGGGUAACCUGCCCCGAAGCGGGGGAUAACAUUUGGAAACAAGUGCUAAUACCGCAUAAUUAGUUGGAACCGCAUGGUUCCAACUUGAAAGAUGGCUCUGCUAUCACUUUGGGAUGGACCCGCGCCGUAUUAGUUAGUUGGUGAGAUAAAAGCCCACCAAGACGAUGAUACGUAGCCGACCUGAGAGGGUAAUCGGCCACAUUGGGACUGAGACACGGCCCAGACUCCUACGGGAGGCAGCAGUAGGGAAUCUUCCACAAUGGACGAAAGUCUGAUGGAGCAACGCCGCGUGAGUGAUGAGGGUUUUCGGAUCGUAAAACUCUGUUGUUAAAGAAGAACAAGUGUUAGAGUAACUGUUAACACUUUGACGGUAUUUAACCAGAAAGCCACGGCUAACUACGUGCCAGCAGCCGCGGUAAUACGUAGGUGGCAAGCGUUGUCCGGAUUUAUUGGGCGUAAAGCGAGCGCAGGCGGUUUUGUAAGUCUGCUGUGAAAGCCCUCAGCUCAACUGAGGAAGUGCAGUGGAAACUACAAAACUUGAGUACAGAAGAGGAAAGUGGAACUCCAUGUGUAGCGGUGAAAUGCGUAGAUAUAUGGAAGAACACCAGUGGCGAAGGCGGCUUUCUGGUCUGUUACUGACGCUGAGGCUCGGAAGCAUGGGUAGCGAACAGGAUUAGAUACCCUGGUAGUCCAUGCCGUAAACGAUGAAUACUAGGUGUUGGAGGGUUUCCGCCCUUCAGUGCCGCAGCUAACGCAUUAAGUAUUCCGCCUGGGGAGUACGACCGCAAGGUUGAAACUCAAAGGAAUUGACGGGGGCCCGCACAAGUGGUGGAGCAUGUGGUUUAAUUCGAUGCUACGUGAAGAACCUUACCAGCUCUUGACAUCUUCUGCCAACCCAAGAGAUUGGGCGUUCCCUUCGGGGACAGAAUGACAGGUGGUGCAUGGUUGUCGUCAGCUCGUGUCGUGAGAUGUUGGGUUAAGUCCCGCAACGAGCGCAACCCUUAUUAUUAGUUGCCAGCAUUUAGUUGGGCACUCUAGUGAGACUGCCGGUGAUAAA